UACGGGGGGAGCUAGCGUUGUUCGGAAUUACUGGGCGUAAAGCGUGCGCAGGCGGCUUCUCAAGUCAGGGGUGAAAGCCCAGAGCUCAACUCUGGAAUUGCCUUUGAGACUGAGUGGCUUGAGUACGAGAGAGGUGAGUGGAAUUCCCAGUGUAGAGGUGAAAUUCGUAGAUAUUGGGAAGAACACCGGUGGCGAAGGCGGCUCACUGGCUCGUAACUGACGCUCAUGCACGACAGCGUGGGGAUCAAACAGG
rnacentral:rRNA from 1 species